CAGGAAUGCCUCAGUACGGCGAGUGAAGCGGCAAGAGCUCAAAUUUGAAAGCUGGCCCCUCCGGGGCCCGCGUUGUAAUUUGCAGAGGAUGCUUUGGGUGCGGCCCCCGUCUAAGUGCCCUGGAACGGGCCGUCAGAGAGGGUGAGAAUCCCGUCUUGGGCGGGGUGUCCGUGCCCGUGUAAAGCUCCUUCGACGAGUCGAGUUGUUUGGGAAUGCAGCUCUAAAUGGGUGGUAAAUUUCAUCUAAAGCUAAAUACUGGCCGGAGACCGAUAGCGCACAAGUAGAGUGAUCGAAAGAUGAAAAGCACUUUGAAAAGAGAGUUAAACAGCACGUGAAAUUGUUGAAAGGGAAGCGCUUGCGACCAGACUCGCCCUCGGGGUUCAGCCGGCACUCGUGCCGGUGUACUUCCCCGGGGGCGGGCCAGCGUCAGCUUGGGCGGCCGGUCAAAGGCCUCCGGAAUGUAGUGCCCCCCGGGGCACCUUAUAGCCGGAGGUGCAAUGCGGCCAGCCUGGGCUGAGGAACGCGCUUCGGCACGGACGCUGGCAUAAUGGUCGCAAACGACCCGUCUUGA
rnacentral:rRNA from 1 species